GACGAACGCUGGCGGCGUGCCUAAUACAUGCAAGUCGAGCGAACGGACGAGAAGCUUGCUUUUCUGAUGUUAGCGGCGGACGGGUGAGUAACACGUGGAUAACCUACCUAUAAGACUGGGAUAACUUCGGGAAACCGGAGCUAAUACCGGAUAAUAUUUUGAACCGCAUGGUUCAAUAGUGAAAGACGGUCUUGCUGUCACUUAUAGAUGGAUCCGCGCUGCAUUAGCUAGUUGGUAAGGUAACGGCUUACCAAGGCAACGAUGCAUAGCCGACCUGAGAGGGUGAUCGGCCACACUGGAACUGAGACACGGUCCAGACUCCUACGGGAGGCAGCAGUAGGGAAUCUUCCGCAAUGGGCGAAAGCCUGACGGAGCAACGCCGCGUGAGUGAUGAAGGUCUUCGGAUCGUAAAACUCUGUUAUUAGGGAAGAACAUAUGUGUAAGUAACUGUGCACAUCUUGACGGUACCUAAUCAGAAAGCCACGGCUAACUACGUG
rnacentral:rRNA from 1 species